rnacentral:rRNA from 1 species
AUGCGUAGACGAACGAAGACAAAGUUGACGAAGCGCCCAGACUUGUCAGGCCCGGGGACACGUUGUGGACGAAGGCACGCUUCGGUGUUGCCAGCACCGGGCAUGCGUAGAUUGGGACCUGCACAAGCUGUACGGCAUGUCAAAGAAGUCGACAAGCCAGUAGAGAAGGACUUGACAACGCUUGCGGUGCCAAUCGGCGCGGGGCCGAUGUCGCCCGCGGUUGUCGGAGUAGAAGAAGUGGUCGGGGUAGAUGACGACGACGCUGGUGAUGGGCUGGUGUUGGACGAAGACGAACGGGGUGGACGGGCGGCUGCGGCGGCUACGGGGGUAGCAGCGGCAGCGGCCGAAGAGGAGCGGCGGCAGCCUGAUGGCGGCAGCGGCGGCUAG